GAGAGGGGAGAGACAUGGGAAUCAUUUAACAGGUGAAGGGGGAGAGAGGGGGAGAGACAUGGGAAUCAUUUAACAGGUGAAGGGGGAGAGAGGGGGAGAGACAUGGGAAUCAUUUAACAGGUGAAGGGGGAGAGAGGGGGAGAGACAUGGGAAUCAUUUAACAGGUGAAGGGGGAGAGAGGGGGGAGAGACAUGGGAAUCAUUUAACAGGUGAAGGGGGAGAGAGGGGGGAGAGACAUGGGAAUCAUUUAACAGGUGAAGGGGGGAGAGAGGGGGAGAGACAUGGGAAUCAUUUAACAGGUGAAGGGGG